AUUGAAAGCUGGCGGCAGGCCUAACACAUGCACGUCGAGCGGAGAGGGGACGGGUGAGUAACACGUGGGUAACCUCCCAUCAGAGGGGAUAACACUUGGAAACAGGUGCUAAACCGAUACUGAUGGAUGGACCCGCGUGGCAUUAGCUAGUUGGUGAGGUAACGGCGCACCAGGGCCACGAUGCAUAGCCGACCUGAGAGGGUGAUCUGCCACCCUGUGACUGAUACACGGCCCAGACUCCUACGGGUGGCAGCCUUUGGGAAUCUUCGGCAAUGGACGAAAGUCUGACCCAGCAACGCCGCGUGAGUGAAUACGGUUUUCGUAUCGUAAAACUCUUUUGUUAGAGACGCGGUAUCUAACCAGUAAGCCACGGCUAACUACGUACCAGCCGCCGCGGUAAUUC
rnacentral:rRNA from 1 species